rnacentral:rRNA from 1 species
AGGGCACCACCAGGAGUGGAGCCUGCGGCUUAAUUUGACUCAACGCGGGAAAACUCACCCGGCCCGGACACCGUAAGGAUUGACAGAUUGAGAGCUCUUUCUUGAUUCGGUGGGUGGUGGUGCAUGGCCGUUCUUAGUUGGUGGAGCGAUUUGUCUGGUUAAUUCCGAUAACGAACGAGACUCUAGCCUACUAAAUAGUGACUGAAUUUUUAGUUCAGUAUACUUCUUAGAGGGACAAAGGGUAUCUAGCCCUACGAGAUUGAGCAAUAACAGGUCUGUGAUGCCCUUAGAUGUCCGGGGCUGCACGCGCUACACUGAAGGAGUCAACAUGCAUUGAAACCUAGUCUGGAAAGACCGGGUAACCCAAUGAAACUCCUUCGUGAUUGGGAUAGGGAAUUGUAAUUAUUUCCCUUGAACGAGGAAUUCCUAGUAAAUGCGGGUCAUCAUCUCGCGUUGAUUACGUCCCUGCCCUUUGUACACACCGCCCGUCGCUACUACCGAUUGGAUGUUUCGGUGAGG